rnacentral:lncRNA from 1 species
AAGUCUGUAAGGAGAAGAAAAUCCUGGAAGUGUUCAAAGGACAGAAAGGAGGCACAUGUGUUGGGUGAGGGGGUUGUUGAGACGCUGGACAUGCUGUGUAUGUAUUAAUCCCCAACUCCUAAUUUAUCCCUGAAUUUUAAUGUGAAGCCAUUGAAGACUAAUUUCAAUGUUAAGAUCUUUGUGGCUGCUAUAAGAAUGGACUAAUGAGAUCAAGGAUGGGAAGUGUGAUACCAGUUAGGAUAGAGUUGACAGCAGUGCUGACAGGGAAGAUGGAGAGAAGUGGGCAGGCUUGAAGUGCAUUUCAAAAGUAGAGUUGUUGGAACUUGGUGAUAGCUGGUGAUGAGAGGUGGCUAAAGAAAGAAGUGUGGAAUAAAUUCCCUUCAGUAGAUACUGCUGAAUGUUUCUGAUCCAAAACUAUAAGCUCCUCAUGAAAAGUGACAUAGAAACCAACAAAUGCUGCCUGGUACCUCUGGAAAGUGCGCCAGGCUGUUGGGGUAGAGGUGAGAGAGGAAGAUAGUUUUUUCAGAUUAUCAUUUGUACUGUUGAAAUUAUUUAUGAACUGUGCAGGCACUUUAUAAUUUUUUAAGAGGUUACCACUAUAACAGAUAUGACUCAAGUUUUUCUGACUUGAGGCCAUGAAUGGAAUAUGGUGUAAUCUAAAAUGACAAAAACCCAGAGAGAAAGGUCUGAUCUUCAUUAAAGUGAUUACUUCACAACACAACUCACUCUCCUGCUUAGAAUCUUUCCAUUCUCCUACCUUGUCUGUAUCACUAUUUCCAAAAUCUAGUCCAUGGAUCAUUAGUUUCUCAGGUUGUUCGUAAAGUGAAUAUAAAAUAGCUGCCCUGAUCACAUGAGUUUGAGGAACACUUAAUUUGACCUAGUUAAGCAGUUUUUUUUGCAGGCAUCCUCAGAGCCUUUAACAUACUAAUAAUGCACAUUAAGAAUCAUCAAAAAAAAAAAAAAGAUGUUUUAUGCCACAUUUACUAAACUUACUUGACCUUGAAAUGCUUUUUUUGGCAGAACAUCAAACAGAGUCAGCAUUCGGCCUAAACACUUUGGGAAAUGCUGCCCUAUAUUAAUAGAUUAAACCUUUUAACAUCCACAGCUCUCUAUUAACCAUCAGCUUUGCUCAUCUCUUUCAUGCUACUUAGCUGAAGGAAAGCAGAAGCCCAGAACUGAACUGACUCUGUUAAUAAGUGUUAAGUUGAUGAUGAAAACAAUUCUUCCAUGUGGAUAAGACAUAAAGAGAUACAAGCAAGAUCUGUAGUCUGACUAAAAACAAUCAAUUUUUUUUACAAAUUUUAAUUUCUACUUUCCUGGAAAGACUAGGCAGGUCUAUUCUGUCAAAUCAAGAUGUGCAUAUGAGGAAGCUGAAGUAUAUACAGGGAGGAAGAUUUCACAGGGCUCUCAUAUUCCACGGUGGGUCUGGGCCUUACUUGAUACUUGUAAUAUACCCCCCUGCAGGUCAGCACAAUGUGAAUACCUAGAGUGUCUGUAGGAACAAUGAUUUUGCAAUCAAUCUCUUAUAUCUCCUUUCCUGGUCCCCAGCACAUUCGCAUGGUGGUGGGUUGGAGACAGAAGGGCAACUGAUGACCAAAGAAUGACCAACAGACCAGAACAAAAGAAACAAGUUCAUACAGCUCUGGAUUCUGACCAUGGCUUCAUCCAUUUGGUGCUCUACGCCAGGGGUCAGCAAACUAUGACCUGAGGGCCAAAUCUAGCUCCUGCCUAUUUUUGUGUCUCUCUUGAACUAAGAAUGGUGUUUCCAUUUUUAAGUGGUUGAAAAAAAUCUAAAGAAGAAUAAUGUUCUGUGGCACAUGAAAGUUAUAUGAAAUUCAAUUUUUGGUAUCCAUAAAUAAAGUUUUAUUGGAAACCAGCCAGUGCCAGGCAUCUAUUCAUCCUAUUGUCUGUGGCUGCUUUAGUGUUUCAUGUAGUGAGUAGCUGUGAUCUGCAAAGCCUGGUCUGUUUACCCUCUGGCCUUUUAUAUAAAAUGUCUGGCCCCUGCUCUAAGCUAUUAAACUCACUGGCCAUAGAUAAUUUUACUAGAUUUGUUUUAUAUAUUAAGGGAUAGUCUUAGUUCAGGCUGCUAUAACAAAGUACCAUAGACUGGGUGUCUUAUAAAUAACAAAAAUGUAUUUCUUAUAGUUCUGGAGGCUGGGGGUCCAAAAUGAAGGCACAAGCAGAUUUGAACUUCCUAGUUCAUAGAUGUUCUUCUUUCCCUUGUUACUUCACAUGGUGGAAGGAGUGAGGGUUUCUCAGGAGCCUAUUUUAUAAGGUCACUGAUUCCAUUCAGUGUGAUGUGACAUCAUCACAUUGGAGACUAGAUCUCAACAUACAUAUUUUGGGAGGACUGAAAAGUUCAGUCUAUGUCAAGGGUCAAAUACAAAUAGGUCAGCUGACUGUGCAGAAACUCCUCAAAUGUUAUUCUCAUUGGAACCAUAGUAGUGCCCUUUAUUGUCCAUGACUAGUGUAGCUAUUGUUACAUGACAACGUGGGAAGGUAGUCUUGCAGGUGACAGCUUUUGAAAGCUACUCAAACAUUUGAAGUCAUAUAUAAGGAUAAACCAAACCAGGGCCCAAGAGGUAGAGGGGGUAAUUAACCCCAAUAUUACAUAGCUGUUGAAAUCUGCUACCUGAACUUUCCUGUGAACAGUCACCUCUGAUUUUUAUUUCACUGAUGGAACAAAUCUAUUUUUUAUUAAUGAACCCUUUUUUUUCAAGAGGAAUGGUUUAAAGGUGACAGUCUUAAGUUAGGAGGAACAAAUACACACUUUUCAUCAUCCCCACCCCAAGCCUAUUGAACCAACACUUUUGACCUGAGGCUCCCCAGGUACUUCAUUCAUAACCAGCACAGCACAGGUACAAAUGUGGGGACAGGUGGUUCAGGUGCUUCCAUGGGACUUAGAAAGGGAAGAUGGCAGAUAGUGGCUUGUGCCUAGGUCUGCUGCCAUCACAAAAUCUUUGCAGAGCAUGGUAUUCUGCAGAAACUAAAGAGUUUGAAAUAUGGGGCUCCUUGCCAGCUUUGUUGAUCAGGGGAUUUUCCAUGACUAAUUCUGAGACCUACCUUUAAAGAAGAAGAAUUGGUUUCAGGUGAGAGCUCUGUUCACUAGCCAUUUUCCCACCUGAUUCCCACUUGGUAGUCUGUAUC